rnacentral:lncRNA from 1 species
UGAGUUAAGAAAUGAUUGCAUUGAACAUGUAGUAUGCAUGUGAAAAGAAUAUGAAAUUAUUGUGAGCAUGAAAUAAACAAGUGAAAAGAAUGAAAAGAUCCAUUCAACUGCUAUCUCUAAGGGGUUUCUGUUUCUCCCUCCUUUGAAAAGUGUUGGUGAACUACUCUUUGUGAUAAUCAGCGGUCCCUCUAAUGAGAGAGGAUACGCGUUAGUUGC